GUGGGUGUCAGCCAAUCACAGCAUAUUCAAUGAUUCCACAUGGAUUGGAGAGUGUUGAAUCAUGAGGAGGCUGGCAAAAGGGCCCUCUCCUCAUGAGGUCUGGUUAAUAUCAGGAAUUAUUGCCUCAAACGCUGCAGGUUCAACCUGGAUCAGAAGCCAAGACCAAUGCUGCACUUGGAAGGGACGACCAAUAGUUCUGUGUUCCUGACCUGUCUUACAGUCUUUCGCUUCUAUCCGCAGUGGACCGUUUGGCUGAUCACGUCACUCUACAGCUGAACUUCUGCCACAUUUGAGCACCCACAUUAAAGACAAAAGUUGGGGAGAUAAUGGAGAGGCAAGACAACAAUAUGGGAUUGGCUGGAAAGAUGACAGACUGCAUAUGUACAUCAAAUAAAUUCCAAACGCAGCCGUCUAUUCCCAAGGUUUGGACAAAACAAAGGAACGAAUGUGGAACAGAAGUUUCAAAGACCUCUACGGAAAGAUAAAGUUCUCGGAGGUAUCAACCUCAUAUGAAAGGGUCUUUUAAAAGGUCAUUUUAUUAAAGCUAUGGAGAAGAAAUAACCUUCGGAAACGGUGGUUUUUCAUUAGAU
rnacentral:lncRNA from 1 species